rnacentral:tRNA from 2 species
GGGCCCUUAGCUCAGUUUGGUUAGAGCGCUCCGCUCAUAACGGAGUGGUCCGGGGUUCAAGUCCCUGAGGGCCCACCA